rnacentral:rRNA from 1 species
UACGGGGGGGGCAAGCGUUGUUCGGAAUUACUGGGCGUAAAGGGCUCGUAGGCGGCCAACUAAGUCGGACGUGAAAUCCCUCGGCUUAACCGGGGAACUGCGUCCGAUACUGGAUGGCUUGAGUUCGGGAGAGGGAUGCGGAAUUCCAGGUGUAGCGGUGAAAUGCGUAGAUAUCAGGAAGAACACCCGUGGCUAAGGCGGUUCUCUAGUACGGUACUGACGCUGAGACGCGAAAGCGUGGGGAGCGAACAGG